rnacentral:rRNA from 1 species
AGCAGUAGCCGCGGGAAUACGAAGGGGGCUAGCGUUGUUCGGAUUUACUGGGCGUAAAGCGCACGUAGGCGGAUCGAUCAGUCAGGGGUGAAAUCCCAGAGCUCAACUCUGGAACUGCCUUUGAUACUAUCGAUCUGGAGUAUGGAAGAGGUGAGUGGAAUUCCGAGUGUAGAGGUGAAAUUCGUAGAUAUUCGGAGGAACACCAGUGGCAAAGGCGGCUCACUGGUCCAUUACUGACGCUGAGGUGCGAAAGCGUGGGGAGCAAACAGGAUUAGAUACCCCCGUAGUCCCUGUCUCUUAUAC